GGAGUGGUAGCUCAGCGGUAGAGCAGGAGAUUGCAGUUAAAUCCAAUAUCUCAAGGUCCCGUGUUCAAUCCACGGUCGCUCCU